GUCGAUGAUGAACGUGGCUGCUUGUCCCCAGACAUGUCCACAGGUAGUCAAACAGUGCCCUCCUCCCCAGACAACCAAGAGGACUCGGCUGUCGUCAUGGAGGAGGUGGAGGAGGAGGUGGGGGGAUCUCGUAGACCUCCUGGUGGUUUCCGGCGAUCAGACAACGGAGGACCUCUUCAGCCUCGAUGUCGUCAAGGAGACGGCGGGUGACGCCAGCCUUUCAGACGUUCAGAGUUUAGACGCAGAAACGCCAUGCUCCGAGCGAGUGGACCCAGGCCCGCUGGGGAGUUAAGAGCACUUUUUCACCCACUAUGCAUUAGAAGGCUUUAGUAGCUGGCUUUAGCGCUUGGGCUCAUAAAGCUACAUGCUAACGUUAGCAACACUGGAACUAAACUAUUUUAUUAUAUUAACAAGGGUUUUAUUGAUAUGAAGUUGCCUUUGCUGCAUGCUAACUUGCACAUUCAAACAAAAUAGUUUUGUUGGUUUAUGGUCUGAAGUUCUGUUGAUUCAGUUCACAAUGAAUGUAUGCUAAGGGUUACCUUGAAGGAUUAAUGUAUUGCUUUUUCUGGUCAGAACUGAUUCUUUUUUAACUGUCACCAACAAGCCUCCGUAGUUGGGUACCUUUUUAUGAAGCAUUUGGUGCCUUCACCAUCUUCACCAUUUAAUUACUGAAGGAAACAUGAUUGUAUGUUUAUGGAAUGGAUGGUUACAUCCACGAUCAGUUUUAUGUUUUGUGAGUAUAAAGUUUUAUGUAUGGGGUUUAUUUUGCUGAAAAUUAAGAUGGCGGGAGAGUUUGCGUUUUUAUUUUAUCUGUAAUAACAAAUACAGUAGCCAUAUCUUUAUGUUCAUUCUGCACUUUUGAUGAGAGCAAUGUACCAUUGGGAUAAUUUGUCUGUUUAUAUUCUUCCAUUUAACUAUGACUCGUAGUUAAGUUUAUGUGAUUGUAAAAUAAGAGAAAAAGGGGAAUUCUACUGGAGAAGUAAAAUUGUUUUCAAAAAUAGUCGAGCUCUUAUUGUGGUUUAAAGUGCAACCAUUCUCAAGUCCACUAAAUACGUUUGUUAUCGGAAGCGAUGGUUACCAUGGCAUUUUUUUUUCAGUUUUUACUUUUAAUUAGAGUUGUCUCCGGUACUUGACUUGAAAAAGGUCAAAGCAAUAGAACACAAUUAUAGGUAUCAAUAGGUGUCCGUAUUGGUGAGUCUAUUGAUCAGAAAUUUGGUCAUGAAGACGUGUGAUCUCAGGCGUUACUCAAAUCACUAUUCAUAAACCUAUUUUCUCCUGUGUGCUGCAAUGUAUGUUGAACUACGGGUUAUAUUCAGCAUUCAGUUUUUUUUCCUCAAAACUGCUUUGUCUUUAUAGCCUUCUAUUGGCCUACAGAAUAAACAUUGAAAACA
ensembl:lncRNA